AAGGGCUGUGAAGCCAGACCGGAAGGACUGGUGGAGCGCUUAGAAGUGAGAAUGCCGGUAUGAGUAGCGAAAGAGGGGUGAGAAUCCCCUCCACCGAAUGCCUAAGGUUUCCUGAGGAAGGCUCGUCCGCUCAGGGUUAGUCGGGACCUAAGCCGAGGCCGAAAGGCGUAGGCGAUGGACAACAGGUUGAUAUUCCUGUACCACCUCCUCACCAUUUGAGCAAUGGGGGGACGCAGGAGGAUAGGGUAAGCGCGGUAUUGGAUAUCCGCGUCCAAGCAGUUAGGCUGGGAAAUAGGCAAAUCCGUUUCCCAUAAGGCUGAGCUGUGAUGGCGAGCGAAAUAUAGUAGCGAAGUUCCUGAUUCCACACUGCCAAGAAAAGCCUCUAGCGAGGUGAGAGGUGCCCGUACCGCAAACCGACACAGGUAGGCGAGGAGAGAAUCCUAAGGUGAUCGAGAGAACUCUCGUUAAGGAACUCGGCAAAAUGACCCCGUAACUUCGGGAGAAGGGGUGCUCUGUUAGGGUGCAAGCCCGAGAGAGCCGCAGUGAAUAGGCCCAGGCGACUGUUUAGCAAAAACACAGGUCUCUGCGAAGCCGUAAGGCGAAGUAUAGGGGCUGACGCCUGCCCGGUGCUGGAAGGUUAAGAGGAGCGCUUAGCGUAAGCGAAGGUGCGAAUUGAAGCCCCAGUAAACGGCGGCCGUAACAAUAACGGUCCUAAGGUAGCGAAAUUCCUUGUCGGGUAAGUUCCGACCCGCACGAAAGGCGCAACGAUCUGGGCACUGUCUCAACGAGAGACUCGGUGAAAUUAUAGUACCUGUGAAGAUGCAGGUUACCCGCGACAGGACGGAAAGACCCCGUGGAGCUUUACUGCAGCCUGAUAUUGAAUGUUGGUACAGCUUGUACAGGAUAGGUAGGAGCCUUGGAAACCGGAGCGCCAGCUUCGGUGGAGGCAUCGGUGGGAUACUACCCUGGCUGUAUUGACCUUCUAACCCGCCGCCCUUAUCGGGCGGGGAGACAGUGUCAGGUGGGCAGUUUGACUGGGGCGGUCGCCUCCUAAAAGGUAACGGAGGCGCCCAAAGGUUCCCUCAGAAUGGUUGGAAAUCAUUCGCAGAGUGUAAAGGCACAAGGGAGCUUGACUGCGAGACCUACAAGUCGAGCAGGGACGAAAGUCGGGCUUAGUGAUCCGGUGGUUCCGCAUGGAAGGGCCAUCGCUCAACGGAUAAAAGCUACCCCGGGGAUAACAGGCUUAUCUCCCCCAAGAGUCCACAUCGACGGGGAGGUUUGGCACCUCGAUGUCGGCUCAUCGCAUCCUGGGGCUGUAGUCGGUCCCAAGGGUUGGGCUGUUCGCCCAUUAAAGCGGUACGCGAGCUGGGUUCAGAACGUCGUGAGACAGUUCGGUCCCUAUCCGUCGCGGGCGCAGGAAAUUUGAGAGGAGCUGUCCUUAGUACGAGAGGACCGGGAUGGACGCACCGCUGGUGUACCAGUUGUUCUGCCAAGGGCAUCGCUGGGUAGCUAUGUGCGGACGGGAUAAGUGCUGAAAGCAUCUAAGCAUGAAGCCCCCCUCAAGAUGGGAUUUCCCAUUCCGCAAGGAAGUAAGAUCCCUGAAAGAUGAUCAGGUUGAUAGGUCUGAGGUGGAAGUGUGGCGACACAUGGAGCUGACAGAUACUAAUC
rnacentral:rRNA from 1 species